CUUAAUUAAUAAUUGUUUAGUGGACUUUGAUUAAAAAUGACAAGAAUUUAUACACACAAAAUGGGGGUCUUCAUGAGUGGAAUCUUCAGGAUACCUCACAAGGUUUCAUGUUUUGACAUAACAUAUGCUGAAAUUGCUGACAGUUUUAGAUGCUAUCGAGGAAGUGUGAUUUACGUCUCAGCCCAAAUACACCUUAAUAUCUUAACACAUGCACCCAGAACAUCUACCCAGUGUUCCAGAAACUCAAGAGAUUAUUGAGCCCUUAACCUAAAAUGACUCACAACAGCCUGUCCCUUAAGGACAAUUAUUUCCUUUCUUGAAUCAAGGUUAGUCAAAAUUCGCGAACAUCCUUCUAACUUUCACCUGUAUAAGCUCCUGACUCUC
rnacentral:lncRNA from 1 species